GAUGAACGCUGGCGGCGUGCCUAACACAUGCAAGUCGAACGGAAAGGCUCCUGCUUGCAGGGGUACUCGAGUGGCGAACGGGUGAGUAACACGUGGGUGAUCUGCCCUGCACUUCGGGAUAAGCCUGGGAAACUGGGUCUAAUACCGGAUAGGACGAUGUGUUGCAUGCCGUUGUGGAAAGAUUUUCGGGUGUGGGAUGAGCUCUCGGCUUAUCAGCUCGUUGGUGGGGUAGUGGCCUACCAAGGCGUCGACGGGUAGCCGGCCUGAGAGGGUGUACGGCCACAUUGGGACUGAGAUACGGCCCAGACUCCUACGGGAGGCAGCAGUGGGGAAUAUUGCACAAUGGGCGCAAGCCUGAUGCAGCGACGCCGCGUGGGGGAUGACGGCCUUCGGGUUGUAAACUGCUUUCGCUAGGGACGAAGCGCAAGUGACGGUACCUGGUGAAGAAGCACCGGCUAACUACGUG
rnacentral:rRNA from 1 species